rnacentral:rRNA from 1 species
AAUGAACGUUGGCGGCGUGGAUUAGGCAUGCAAGUCGAGCGUACCCAGCAAUGGGGAAGCGGCAAACGGGGUAGUAAGGCGUCGGUACGUGCCCUCGGGACGAGGAUAGCCACGGGAAACUGUGGGUAAUACUCGAUGAUCUCGUGAGAGCAAAGGUGUGAUUCCGCCAGGGGAGCGGCCGACGUGGUAUUAGGUAGUUGGUGGGGUAAUGGCCCACCAAGCCUGGGAUGCCUAGGGGGUGUGAGAGCAUGGCCCCCACCAUUGGGACUGAGAUACUGCCCAGACACCUACGGGUGGCUGCAGUCGAGAAUCUUCGGCAAUGGGCGCAAGCCUGACCGAGCGACGCCGCGUGCGGGAUGAAGGCCUUCGGGUUGUAAACCGCUGUCAGAGGGGAUGAAAUCACAGUGGGUUCUCCCAUUGUGUUGACAGAGCCUCAGAGGAAGCGCGGGCUAAGUUCGUG